AUCGCAGACGGAGGAAAUGUCGAUGUUGUGUCUGUUGAAAACGGGGUAGUUUCCCUCAAACUCGUUGGAGCAUGCGGUAGCUGCCCUAGCUCGACCACCACCAUGAAGAUGGGAAUUGAACGAGUACUGAAGGAAAAGUUUGGAGAUUCAGUGAAGGAAAUAUGCCAAGUGUAUGAUGAAGAGCCAAAGGAGACAACACCAGAGGCAGUAAAUAGUCACCUUGACAUAUUGAGGCCAGCCAUAAGGAACUACGGUGGGAGUGUGGAAGUAAUAUCGAUCAACGGUGGCGAUUGCCUCGUUAAGUAUGAGGGUCCUGAAUCUAUUGGUACAGGAGUUAAAGCAGCCAUUAAGGAGAGAUUCCCAGAUAUUACAAACGUCGUGUUUUCAAGCUAACAUUUCCUCGAGUUUUUUAAGCAAAGAGAAUAUGUAUAGCUGCUGCAUUUAUUGAAAAGUUG
rnacentral:misc_RNA from 1 species